rnacentral:rRNA from 1 species
UGCCAGCAGCCGCGGUAACACGGGGGGCGCAAGCGUUAUUCGGAAUUAUUGGGCGUAAAGGGAGCGCAGGCGGAUAGGUCAGUUUAAAGUGGAAUCCCAGGGCUCAACCCUGGAAGUGCUUUGGAUACUGCCUGUCUUGAGUUCGUGAGAGGAAAGUGGAAUUCAGGGUGUAGCGGUGAAAUGCUUAGAUAUCCUGAGGAACACCAGUGGCGAAAGCGACUUUCUGGCACGAAGCUGACGCUGAGGCUCGAAAGCGUGGGUAGCGAACGGGAUUAGAUA